AAUUUGCGUGAAGGAUAGCAGCGAAAAGCCCACAGUAUAGUGUAGCGAUAGCGAAACUAUGCGAGAACUUGUAGCGUAUAGCCUGACCCUUG
rnacentral:misc_RNA from 1 species